ensembl:lncRNA
GAUUAGUUUCUUUAUUUGUAUACGACAUACUGCCUUUUCAAAAAUCUAAAAUUUAAUCUCAGAAAUAUAAAUGAAUAAUAAAAUGUAUCUUUCUGUAUUUUUCAAUCUGUUCCAGGUUGUGUGUCUGCCUCCAUCAGCAGUGUACAAUGGCUGAGGAUCAACCUGGGUUCCUUCUCUGAGUUUGCCUUUGUCAGAGAACUGUUCAAUCUCUACCCAGAGUUCAAUCCUGUACGUUUCUUAAAACACUCGAUAUAUAUUUAUUUAAAAAACGCUGACUGCUCCAACACUUAAUCUACUUAUAAAUGAUCCAUUUCAGUUGGAGGCUCUCAGUGUUCUGAGUCCAAAGCAGAGUGCAGAGCUGCUGGUGCUGAAACAUCCCACUCUGCCAAACACAGACAUCAUUAUCAACAAACUCUUUGAUUAUUUCACUGAAUCCCCAAGAGAGAGGAAGUUUACAGAGUUCCUGUCAUUCCUUGUUGUGUUCCUGGAAAUGGUAAACAAUCUCACCGUUUUAGACGCACUUAUGUUCCUGUGUUUGGUUUGUCAGCAUUGAUCCGUCUGUUCUUUCAUUUUUAAAGGAACCUCUUUCCUGCACAUCAUACAAAACAUUGUAAGUCCUGACCAAAAUGGUUUUUUUUCUAAAUGAAAUUAAUGCAAUACAUAAAAAAAAAAUAUUUGUGUUAUGAUUCCAGAUUUACCCAACUUGACUUUAUUGAAGCUACAGCUUCUCUUGAUGUGGCUUCAUUUAUUCCAAGCAUCAGAGCAAACUUAUCCAAGAACAUCCUGCCUGGUUGUUCCAUAUUCAGUGGGGAGUGCAAUGUUGUCACAGCAAAUGAUUCAAGUGUUUGUAUUGGAAUAAACAGGUAGGUUACUACUUUAGAACUCAAGUCUUUAUUUCUUUUAUAAAUAAACAAGAAAAAAAUGAAUGUGAUAUAUAUUUUUCCUUUACAGCACAGAGCUUCAGCUUCAGCUCGACAUUGGGAAGAUGGACGGCCGCUUCUGUGACUUUCCUUUGGAGGAAUUUGCUUGUGCUUCUGUAAGACUGAAUAGGAAAAAGCAAUUAUUCAAAAGCCAUUGAUGUUAAAAAAGAGAGGUUCAUGCUCAUUUUAUUUUUAUUUUUUUUGUAUACCAGCUUUCAGCAAUAACUGCACAGGACCUGGCAGAGAUAAUGAAGUGUAAUCGAUCGUCCAGCUCAAGCGGGUCCACACAAGUCUGGAAGCUUCUUCUCUUUAAAGCUUCCGAGGUGCUGGAAGAAGCUCUGGAUCUUCUAACAAACUCGGUAUAAAUAUUUAUUGCACUUUUACAAUACUGUAAGAAUUUGUUAAAAGACUGGGAAAAAAAAUAAAAAUAGGAAUGUGCACAUAAUUAUGCAAAAAAAUUAAAAAAAGAUACAAUUAAUUUAACAUUGCCUUACAGAGUGUAUUUUUAUCUGUUAUAGACAAUCAGCCCCAUGAACCCUUCAGCCUCCAUGAUCCUGGACAGCAUUCAAGAACUCAAACUUGACCAAUUCAGCAACGACACUCUGAAUGAUCCGUUGACUCUUCAGCUGUGGUUCAACAGUCGACUUCGUCUGUUCUUACCUGCUGUUUCUAAUGAUUUCCUUUCAUGUCUGGCAACAAAGGAUUUGCUGUGCAGCUCCUACCAGUAUAUGUAAGCACUGCAGGAAAUAUUAUCGUACUUACUGUUCUUUUUAAAAUGCAAUUUAAUAACUUUUACGUUUUUCUUUUUAAUUUCAUUUUCUCAGUGUGCAGGUUUUGAGUCAAGUUCAGCCACAGAUGGCUCUUCCUAAGCAAAUCUCUGUGUACACAAACUUCAUCAAGAUUUACCUGAAAAGAAACAACACUGCAGGUGAGGAUUGUGUUAUAUUUACCCAAAUACUGCCACAGUUUUAAUGUCUUUUUUCUUGUACAGCAGAUUUGUUUAAAUACGAGCAACACAUCUCGUUCUUUUCUCA